rnacentral:rRNA from 1 species
AUUGAACGCUGGCGGCAGGCCUAACACAUGCAAGUCGAGCGAGAGGAGGACGGGUGAGUAAUGUAUGGGGAUCUGCCCGACCGAGGGGGAUAAGUGCGGGAAACGGUGGCUAAUACCGCAUAAUAUCGUAUGGGCCCAUGUGGGUUUAGCUAGUAGGUGGGGUAAAGGCUCACCAAGGCGACGAUCCCUAGCUGGUCUGAGAGGAUGAUCAGCCACACUGGGACUGAGACACGGCCCAGACUCCUACGGGAGUCAGCAGUGGGGAAUAUUGCACAAUGGGCGAAAGCCUGAUGCAGCAAUGCCGCGUGUGUGAAGAAGGUCUUAGGGUUGUAAAGUACUGUCAGUGGGGAGGCGUUACCCGAAGAGGAAGCAACGGCUAACUCCGUGCCAGCAGCCGCGGUAAUUC